rnacentral:rRNA from 1 species
UACGUAGGGUGCGAGCGUUGUCCGGAAUUAUUGGGCGUAAAGAGCUUGUAGGUGGUUUGUCGCGUCUGCUGUGAAAAUCCGAGGCUCAACCUCGGACUUGCAGUGGGUACGGGCAGACUAGAGUGUGGUAGGGGGAGACUGGAAUUCCUGGGUGUAGCGGUGAAAUGCGCAGAUAUCAGGAGGAACACCGGUGGCGAAGGCGGGUCUCUGGGCCGUAAGCCGACGCUGGAGGCGCGACAGCGUGGGGAGCAACAGG